rnacentral:lncRNA from 1 species
CUCGAAAUCUCUGGCUUUUUUAUUGAAAUUUUUGAAAACAAAAAUUCCCAAAUCUUUGAAUAACCCUAAUAGGCUAAUCCCCAACCUUUCUAUUCUUUUCCCUAAUUACCAUCUCAAAGGAGAUCGUUAGCCACAAACAAGGAAGAAGAACAAGUGAAGUUUGAUGAGUUUCGGUCGGCUAUUGGCAACUCCUUCGAUAAUUCGAUUCGAACCCCAUUUUUAGCCAACAACUCAUUUCCUUUGAUUAUUGGUUAGUAAUUGUGGCCCUUUUAAUAUUUG